AAGGAGGCUGGUCUGUGCAGGCCAAGGUCUGCCUGCGCCUGACGCCACCAGGGGGAGUGCUGCUCUGCUCCGUUCACCCCACCCCCCAGCGGUGAAGAGGGAAAAAUAGUGUCAGUGAGGGGAAAAUAGCAGCGGGGGCUGGGCAGCAGCAGUGGUGGCAGUGGCAGGGCAGAGGAGGCAGCAGAUCAGCUGUGGGGCCAGCUGCCCACCCAAGAAGGCUGUAUGAAAAGAAUGAAAACUGAGCACCAGCGCCUCGCACCCACAACCUCCCUCCACCAGAAAAUAGAAUAAAAUAAAAUAAAAUGUGCACAUAAAGGAUUCCUCCUACAAAUAAACGGCAGUUGUCUACACUGGCACAAACCCCAAGGAGUCGACCGUUCCUGCAUACAAACAACAGUUCCAUUGUUGUGGUGAAACAUGCUUAGUACACAGGUGCUUCAAAACUGGAUAAUGGAUAUUUUGCACAUGAAGGCCUCUGAGAAUAUUCAGGCAAACAGUUCCUCUGACAUCACAUGAAGGCCUUUCCCAGGAUCAAGAAUAUGUCCCUCUAUGACUUCGUGCAUCAGGCUGGCAGUGGUAGUAGGAGAAGGGAUUUUAAGGUCAUCAUAGCAAGAAUCAACAAAGAUAACUCAUGUACAAUUUGAAUACCUGUGGGCAUUUGCUUAUUUCAUGCCAUGGAGGUGUUGAUAUAGAGAAAGGAAGAUAAUAAUAAAAAUGUUCAGAGUUGUCAUA